rnacentral:rRNA from 2 species
UAAGCGCGCGCAGGCGGUUUCUUAAGUCUGAUGUGAAAGCCCACGGCUCAACCGUGGAGGGUCAUUGGAAACUGGGGAACUUGAGUGCAGAAAAGAAAAGCGGAAUUCCACGUGUAGCGGUGAAAUGCGUAGAGAUGUGGAGGAACACCAGUGGCGAAGGCGGUUUUUUGGUCUGUAACUGACGCUGAGGCGCGAAAGCGUGGGGAGCAAACAGGAUUAAAUACCCUGGUAGUCCACGCCGUAAACAAUGAGUGCUAAGUGUUAGAGGGUUUCCGCCCUUUAGUGCUGCAGCUAACGCAUUAAGCACUCCGCCUGGGGAGUACGGCCGCAAGACUGAAACUCAAAGGAAUUGACGGGGGCCCGCACAAGCGGUGGAGCAUGUGGUUUAUUUCGAAGCAACGCGAAGAACCUUACCAGGUCUUGACAUCCUCUGACAACUCUAGAGAUAGAUCGUUCCCCUUCGGGGGACAGAGUGACAGGUGGUGCAUGGUUGUCGUCAGCUCGCGUCGUGAGAUGUUGGGUUACGUCCCGCAACGAGCGCAACCCUUGAUCUUAGUUGCCAGCAUUAAGUUGGGCACUCU